GACGAACGCUGGCGGCGUGCUUAACACAUGCAAGUCGAACGAUGACGCGGUGCUUGCUCCGUGUAAUAGUUGCGAACGGGUGAGUAAUACGUGAGUGACCUACCUUUUACUCUUUGAUAAGCCUGGGAAACUGGGUCUAAUACCUGAUACGACCAAUCUCUGCCUGGGGUGUUGGUGGGAAGCUUUAUGGUGUGGCUUUAGAUGGGCUCACGGCCUAUCAGCUUGUUGGUGAGGUAAUGGCUUACCAAGGCGACGACGGGUAGCCGGCCUGAGAGGGUGACCGGCCACACUGGGACUGAGAGACGGCCCAGACUCCUACGGUAGGCAGCAGUGGGGAAUAUUGCACAAUGGGCGCAAGCCUGAUGCAGCGACGCCGCGUGAGGGAUGACGGCCUUCGGGUUGUGAACCUCUGUUAGCAUCGAAGAAGCGAUAGUGACGGUAGGUGCAGAGAAAGCGCCGGCUAACUACGUG
rnacentral:rRNA from 1 species